rnacentral:snoRNA from 1 species
AUGGGAUGAGAUACUAGAUGACGAGUCUGAGCUCGUGUGUGAGAGUUUCUCUCGUAUGCGCCGUUGACGACUCUUUUCUAAAAUACCAUUCAUGCUUUCCUGAUU